rfam:Fukomys damarensis contig143905, whole genome shotgun sequence.
UGGCGCCCGAACGUGGGUCUCGAGACGCGGGGUCUUCACCUGAUGGAUGCUGCUCAGAUCGGCCGAUCGACUCCAGGACCUCCGCCCAAAUGGCGAGUUGGCUCCUCAUAGCGGUCCGCUCAGACCCACCCGUCUGAGAAAGCGACCUGCGAGGUAAGUGAGCAACACAAAAAUGGGACAACAGGUUAAUAAACAUGAAGUUUUUGUUCAGGACUUAAAGUCCGCCCUCAGGGCGCGGGGAGUUCGGGUUAAGAAAAAGGAUCUUAUUAAAUUCUUUAAAUUUGUGGAAGAAACCUGCCCUU